rnacentral:lncRNA from 1 species
AUGCUGAUACAUUCUCAAAAAACACAGUGCUUCUACUUUGAAGGAGGAGUCUGUGGCGCUUGUCAAAAUGAGAAAGUGAUCAUCAGAAUCUGGCUUGGUAUUCCUGCUGCUGGAGCCUUCAGGAGCCAGCGCUCAGCCCAGCUGAAGCCAGAGGAGGAAGGUGGAGAAGCACAGCCUGAUCAGGUACCGAGCCAGUCAUGGGAAAUGUUGUCUGAUGCAGAGUUAAGUUAUGGAUGACCAUUAGUUCUAGAAGUUACGUUCUUUAGAAGGUCUUGUUAACAUGUGUGAUGCAAUGGAGGUCCAGUAAGGACAGCCACAUCUGUGGGCCUGGCAUGGGUGCAUGUUAUAUAUCUGAGUUCUGUAACCGAUCUGAGGUGAACAUAAACAAAUGCAACGUUUCCUGGGGUAUUUGAUUUGCACAUCUAAUGUGCAGUACAGCUCAGUACAUGUUUGCACAACCAUUUUCAGGCUCCACGUAAGUUGUAAAGAAUGGGCUAGGAGUACUCUUAACAAAUGUUUGAAUAUUGAAGAGCAGUUUGAUGUCUUGAGGGAAGGUUUUUCCUCAGCUUUAUUCUUUGUUCUAGUGGGGAGACUUAAGUGCUAGCUUUCGAUGAGCACUAUGUUCUGUGGGAACCAUAGAGCACAGAGAGGUAGCAGACUGAUGGGUUUUAAGACAAAACCAACUGUUAGCUUGCUAGCUGUGUUUUUAUUUGCCAAGAUGUCCAUAACCAUUCCUGGAAACUGGUAUUUAUUCUUGCAUUCAUAUCUUUCAGAUUGUCAUACUUGAGAAGAUUUAGUUAGGUUCAUCUUGUAUGAAGACAGAAGUUCAAGGUUUUGAUUUAUUGUAUUCAGUUUGGGGUUUUUGUCUUACAUAACUGUACCUUCUAGUUUAUUUGGAACUCCUGCUCUGAGGACCAUGUUUUGAAAAGACUUCACAUAUUUUAAUGCAAAGUACCUUUAGAGAUCCCUUAAGAACAGGGCUGCUACUUUUGUGGGCUUGUACAACGUUUGGGAUGGCAAUGGCAUGCAAUUCACUUUUAGAGGGAGCAUUUUUUGAAGAGGCACAAUGUUUUUUCACCUCAAGGGAUGCUUCCUCUCCAGAAAUACCAGUAUCUGUUGCUUCGACUAUCUGAAUUUAUUAGUUACAUUUUUGUUAUCUUUUUAUUUAUUGACCUAGGUGGAAGCAGUGAGGGUUUGUUUAAAAUCUAUUAAGAAAAUUAUUCCUAAUCUUGUAGAGGUAAUUUCUAGCUCUGAUUAUAUCUUUCCUGGUGUGGUUUUUUUUGUUUGUUUGCUUUUUGGGUUUUUUUGUGUGUGUGGUUUUGUUUUGGUUUUUUUUUUGUCUUGUGAAAUAAGAAUCAGCAUUAUUUGAUUCAACAACCAGCUUCCUGCUUCCCAAGGAAGAGAUAGUGGCUCAUUCGCCUGCAAACAUCCCUCCUGUGGAGAGUCUUUGUUGGGGAGUUAGAGGAAAGCUAGCAGUUCCUAGUGAAAUAGCUGCAUAGCAGGAUGAAGAGGGAUUACUGAAGCAUUACUAGGAAAUUCAUGGCUGUGUGGAAGACCUUAUGUACUCCACAGACAAGCUGACCUAAAUUCUGCAGCCAGGCCUUGCUGGUUUCUGUGUUGAUGUGAUGUGGCAGGCUGGAUAACCUGCAGCAGAUCUGGGGGUUAAAAAAAAAAAAAAAAAAGCAGGGGAAGUACAGAGAAGAUUUAUAUUUGCGUGGAAACACAGACAGGCAAGUCCUUAAAAGUGUGUUGAAUCUGUCCUAAAUUUUUUUUUUAUUUUCUAACCCACACUUCUCUAUUCUUAGUAUUGAGUAUUUUUUACAUAGCCAGGAUGAGUCUGUAUUACAAGGAUGCUCAUUAGGAGGAGUGGAAAAGUUGUUUACUCCUGGAUGGGGAAUACGUGGAUGGUUUUGCUCAUAAGAGGCUUUUACAGAUGGCUUGGAGUUCUGAGAUAGGUUUUAGCAAAGAAGUUGUGCUAAGUAUCUUAUCAGUAGUGAAACAGUUAACACAACUGACACUUGAACUCUUGGGGGGAAUAGGAUUAGUGUCCACUUGACAUAAAUGGAAUGGCUUAUGCUUAAGUUUCUAGGUAAUAUUUGUUUCUCAAGAUUAUACAUUACACAAAACAUGACACAAAAAUCCAGAUAAAAGACAAAAUGCCAGGUCUGUCAAAGUCAAGUUGGUCAGUCUGACCUGCAUGCAGUGUUUUCCUGGUGUUACUUCUUGUAGUAGUGUUGUGAACUUGCAGUUUAGUUUCUGCUGGCACAAAGUGGUGUGAGGGCAGUUACUGCUUCCUGCCUUUUUCUGUACACAUAAGCUGGACUGAUGCAAUGCUCUCCUUUGCUUUCACCCUUCCCACUUGCACACUUUUGUUACCUGGUCUCACCACUUUUUUCUCAGGUUCCUCUACUCAUGUGGAAGGAAUUUUUUUUGCUAAUACUGCAUACACCAUGUCCUGUGAAAGGAAUGGUUUAUGCAGGCAGAAGAAUUUUGCAAUCACUAGAAGGGCUUUUGCAGUAAGGUUUUUGCUGGCACAGUUGGGAAGCAAGGAAAAAAAUACUGGCUGAUACAGUUAAAUGAACAAAAUGUUGAAGUGUGGCUAGGGCCUUUUCUGUGCAAAUGUUCUGGUCUGGUUACUGUGAUGGAGUGUGUGUGUAUAUUUAUAAUACAUUUGUGUCUGGAAACCUCUUUUUGUGGGAGCAUAAACUUUUAAGUCUUGAAUUGUUUUAGAGGAAUAUCUGCAGCUGCAGCAUCCUGAAGUGCCAGGGGAAAUAGCGAUAUUCUGAAACAUUGCUGGCUUAUUUUAGAUCGCAUUUCACUUGAUGUGCUUUUGGUUUGUUUUAAGAACAACUUAUCUGUAUAAGCUAUUUGUUUACUAUACACACAUAAUAAGCAGCAAUGCCGACCUUCAACUGGAAGCCAGGAUGACUGCUGGUCCUGUUGCCCCACUGCCAGGAGCAGGUAUGGUGAGGGGAUUGGAGAGCAAGGGCUGUUUUCCUUGUGUGUUUCAAUACCAGAAGCAGUAAUUAGAAGCUUAUUAACUGACAAAUGAAUUAAAUUCAUUGAAAUUCCCUCCAAAAUGAUUAACUGGCUUUUGCUUGCAACAAUGUUAUUGCCAAGGCUACCUCAAGGCAGAAGCAAUGUUUUCUUUAGUGUAGAUAGAGAUGUCAUUUUGAGUACUUCUUUGCAAUGAAAAGAACUUCUGUGUAUCUAGCUCCAUUGUUACAAUUUUUGUGUUGGUUUAUCUUUUCUUUUUUCCUGUCCUCCCAGCAGAAUUUUCAAUGUUAUCGGUAGAGACAGAAACUAAAAAAUAACUGGAAAAUAGCUGGAAAAUAGCCCUACUUUGGUGGGUUUUUCACUGUUUUUGCUCUCCUAUUUCUUUGCCUAGACAGGAGACUUGUCCACUACUGAUAGCAAAAGCCAGUCCCCACAGCCACGGGUCAGUGAGCUGAGCUGCUUCUAGCCUGCUUGUCCUUCUGGAGCCUGAACCCAGCCCGCCCGCGGGCGGUGGCACCGACACAGCACGGGGGAGGAAGGAGAUAGCACUGGCGGGGUUUGUCGCCACCUUGCUAUAGCAGAGAAAAAUCUGAGCAGGGUCAAAAUGCAGCACUGCUGUCUUCAAACCUUCCCUGGAGUAAUGUCUUGUUGCAUGGUUUUGUGUGCAUAGACCUGUUUCCUACUGGACAUGUAUCAAAUUCAGUAGGCUGCAGUGUUCUUAGCUGUGUGUUUCAACAUAUUACAAUGUUGUUUUGAAAUACCUACCUGCUCUCACUUCAUGACUGGAAUCUCUGGAGGUGCCUUUUGGAUAGAUGGGAAGUGAUUCUCAAUGUGUUGCUCCCUCAAGCUUUGUCUGUUGUCUCUGGUAGCUGAUGCUGUUUUGAAGAAGGUAGCACCAUCACAGAGUGCUUGUUCUCUCAGAGGCUGAGCAAACAGUGGAGCACUAAAUCAGUGUAGUGAGGUGCAGCAUCAAAGAGUAAGGUCUGCCUUUCCUUGUCCAUACCCAGUUUGGUUUCAGGAGAGGUGGAACACUUCCAGCAACUGAGAAACCACAGGAGAGAUUGGACUGGAGAAAAGCUGGUCUUUCCAGCACCAGGUUUUCCUUGUGUAGAUGGGCCUAACACGUCUCAGAAUGCUGUAUUUGCACAUGAUGGUGAAAAGGACAUACCAUAAGAUGUUGGUGACAUUAUUGCCUUGCACCUCAGAUAGUAAAGAUGGGGGGAAGAGGGAGAUUUGCAAGGGAAAAAUGAAUAAACAGCUCUUUGUUGCUCAAUUAUUUUAGUGCUGCUGUGGUUUAGCUGUUAUAUUGUGUUACUCUGUCCACAGCUUUUUAUGGGCCUCUUUUAGAAAAAUUUUAAAUUUACAUAAAUAAUACGUUUCUCUAGUUUUAUUUAUUAUUUCAAGUGCUAGAAUGUGCUUACAAUUAUAACAUUCCAGUGCCUCCAGUAAUUGGAUAUAUAAAAUUCUGGCCUUUGUUACUGAGCAAUGGGCUCCCACUUUCUGCUUAUCUGACGGCAUUUCAUGAAGUAGCUUUUGCUCAGUGUAUUACUGGAAACAUGGAAAAGUCUUC